CGCGUAGGCGGCCUAUUAAGUCGGUUGUGAAAUCUCCCGGCUCAACUGGGAGGGGUCGACCGAAACUGGUAGGCUUGAGGACAGCAGAGGGAGGUGGAAUUCCCGGUGUAGUGGUGAAAUGCGUAGAUAUCGGGAGGAACACCAGUGGCGAAGGCGGCCUCCUGGGCUGUUCCUGACGCUGAGGCACGAAAGCGUGGGGAGCAAACAGGAUUAGAUACCCUGGUAGUCCACGUUGUAAACUAUGGACACUAGGUAUGGGGGGUAUCGACCCCCUCCGUGCCGAAGCUAACACUAUAAGUGUCCCGCCUGGGGAGUACGGUCGCAAGACUAAA
rnacentral:rRNA from 1 species